GCCUUCGUCGUGACUGGACAUCAUCUGUCGCUUUCGCCUCUGUCCUCGAACAAGAACGAAUAUCGGAAGACUAUCGCCAAGAAUCAUCCCGAUAAGGGCUGAGAUCCAUAUCAGGUUUUUGAAUGGUGGGAGUGAAGUAUGGCAGAGAGAUGGGGAGCAGCGACAACAGAAGAGCAUUGAGGGACAUCAAUCAUCUCGCGGGCAGCAACGUUCCUUACCCCCCUAAGAUUGUCAAGAAAGUUAUGGCAGAGUAAUGCUCCAGCUCUUUUCUUCAGGACCACUAUACUUCAGAAUCUAACCCCAAAUUUCUUAAUUCUUUCUUAUUUGUUAUUAUUUGAUAAAGUUCUUAUGUGGAUUUCAGGGAUGAGAAGAACAAACAGAGUUUCGUAGGCCGAAGACCGAUUACAAGAAUGUCAGCACUAGAGCCAAACCUAUCGGCAUCGAAGUUCAAGCGAGAAACCAACUAGUCCAAGAUACAAGUUUUGCAUGUACUGGUGAUGCCAUAUAUGAGGCAGUGCAUGUUGCAUUUCCUAUUGAUGAACCCAUGCCAAUGGUGGAGGACACUAAAGAGAUGACCUCUUAGUUGAAAGUCUAAGCUCUCAACCAAUAGGCCUAGGAGAGCUGUGUGUAAAUCAGCAAUAUUUUCAUUUCCUUGUCAGGUUAUCUUAGUGGCAGAAGUUAACGGAGGGAGCAAUCUGGACCUGGUUCCAGAGCCUACCAUCCUCGGCGGAACUUUUAGAGCUUUCUCAAAUGCUAGCUUUCAUAAGCUCAAGCAAAGAAUAGAGAAGGUCAUUGUAAUGCAGUAUAGUGUAUAUAAAUGCUCUGCUUCAGUAUACUUCUUUGAGAAUUAAUGAUUCUACCCUCCAACUGUCAAUGACGAUAUAAUGUACGAGCUUGUGAAGAAUGUGGCCGUUAGCCUGCUGGGUCCGAAGAAUUAUAAGGAUGUUCCUCCAAUGAUGGGUGCAAAAGAUUACUCCUUCGACUCAUAGAUUGUACCUGCGGCCUUCUAUUACAUAGGCGUUAGAUUUGUGGAUAUUAUUCAAUUGUACGACUAAGAUUUGUGGAUAUUAUGUAAGUAUUUAUGCAGAAGGAUAUACUUUUUCCAUGCUUUCUUGGUAGGAGAUUCAAAUUAAGGAACUUUGUUAUGAACUUUGGAAACGUUGAAAUUGUUAUAUGCUUGGAUUAAAUUUAUGUGUA